rnacentral:lncRNA from 1 species
UUUCAGAGAGCACUGUACUAAUUUUAGAUAUCAGUGCCUGGCUUAUGUGUAAAAUAUGCCAGCGACACAUUUGUCUGUAGGAAAACAGAACACUAAAAAUAUAGGUCAUAUUUCUUUUCAGCAACAUAAUCAAGCUGUACUUGUAUUUUACAGUAAAGGUUCUUACAGAAAACAAGUGGAGUAAGUUUUCAAAGUGAUUGUUUCAGACAGUUAGGAGGAUGUGAAAAAACUGUUGUGGAACAGAUGUAUCUAUGUUACUUUAAGAAAUACUGCUUACUCUAAUAUGUAUUUUUAAUGCUAGUUUCAGUAAUGUUUUAGAAACUGUAGGUAUUUUUUUACAUCACUUAAUUUGAACAUGAGUGAUAAAGAAUACCAAAAAGCCUGAAUACUUUUCAUUCUUGCAGCUCCAUACAAAUUCCUUUCUCCCCAAGACUGGCAUUCCUCACAAAAGACCUCAGGUGACUUUGGAGUUUAUAAUGAUCCUUCAACAUUAAAAACAUUUGUGCAAGGACUUUUUCCCUGGACACAUAUCGUUUUGGAAAUUGCUCAUUAUGGCCUAACAAGCAAUGGAAGUUCGCAUAAUUGUGGAAAAACAGCUAGAAUUCAGCCAAAAGUUUCUGUGAUUAAGCUGAUGAUGGAAAAAUGGGGAGAAAGUAAGUGGUCAUAGGACCACCUUAGAUGCAGCUGUGCAUGCCCAGAGGGGCACGAGCAUAUAAUAAUGAAUUCUUGGAAAAGAAUGAAUAUCUAUGCCAGUGUUACUGCAUAUGUAUGUCUUAACCAUUUAAAUGUAGAACUUGAACUCUGAGAGCACGUGCUUGUUUUGUCUAAUUGCCCAGUAUAUAUCAUGAAGUAUAAAGGAAUGCCACUUCCUAACAUCACAUUGGUGUUAGAGAGUUUUCUUUGUGGAUUUUGGAUGACACAUUGAGCUCAAAGAGCAGCAACAUGAGUUUGAUAGGUAGCAGUGCAAAAUAAAUGGUGAGAUUCAUGCUUGCCCUGCUUAUGC